CUGGCUCAGGAUGAACGCUAGCUACAGGCUUAACACAUGCAAGUCGAGGGGCAGCAUUUCAGUUUGCUUGCAAACUGGAGAUGGCGACCGGCGCACGGGUGAGUAACACGUAUCCAACCUGCCGAUAACUCGGGGAUAGCCUUUCGAAAGAAAGAUUAAUACCCGAUGGUAUAAUCAGACCGCAUGGUCUUGUUAUUAAAGAAUUUCGGUUAUCGAUGGGGAUGCGUUCCAUUAGGCAGUUGGUGAGGUAACGGCUCACCAAACCUUCGAUGGAUAGGGGUUCUGAGAGGAAGGUCCCCCACAUUGGAACUGAGACACGGUCCAAACUCCUACGGGAGGCAGCAGUGAGGAAUAUUGGUCAAUGGGCGAGAGCCUGAACCAGUCCAAGUAGUGUGAAGGAUGACUGCCAUAUGGGUUGUAAACUUCUUUUAUAAAGGAAUAAAGUCGGGUAUGGAUACCCGUCUGCAUGCUACGACAGG
rnacentral:rRNA from 1 species